GAUGAACGCUGGCGGCGUGCUUAACACAUGCAAGUCGAACGGAAAGGCUCCUGCUUGCAGGGGUACUCGAGUGGCGAACGGGUGAGUAACACGUGGGUGAUCUGCCCUGCACUUCGGGAUAAGCCUGGGAAACUGGGUCUAAUACCGGAUAGGACCACAUUUUGGAUGGUGUGGUGGAAAGUUUUUCGGUGUGGGAUGAGCUCGCGGCCUAUCAGCUUGUUGGUGGGGUAAUGGCCUACCAAGGCGUCGACGGGUAGCCGGCCUGAGAGGGUGUACGGCCACAUUGGGACUGAGAUACGGCCCAGACUCCUACGGGAGGCAGCGGUGGAGAAUAUUGCACAAUGGGCGCAAGCCUGAUGCAGCGACGCCGCGUGGGGGAUGACGGCCUUCGGGUUGUAAACUCCUUUCGCUAGGGACGAAGCGCAAGUGACGGUACCUGGAGAAGAAGCACCGGCUAACUACGUG
rnacentral:rRNA from 1 species